rnacentral:rRNA from 1 species
CCUACGGGUGGCAGCAGUCGAGAAUCAUUCACAAUGGGGGAAACCCUGAUGGUGCGACGCCGCGUGGGGGAAUGAAGGUCUUCGGAUUGUAAACCCCUGUCAUGUGGGAGCAAAUUAAAAAGAUAGUACCACAAGAGGAAGAGACGGCUAACUCAGUGCAAGCAGCCGCGGUAAUACAGAGGUCUCAAGCGUUGAUCGGAAUCACUGGGCGUAAAGCGUGCGGGGGCGGUUUCGAAGGUCGUGUGUGAAAGGCGCGGGCUAAACCCGCGGACGGCACAUGAUACUGCGAGAUUAGGGUAAUGGAGGGGGAACCGAAAUUCUCGGUGUAGCAGUGAA